UACGUAGGGUGCGAGCGUUUGUCCGGAAUUAUUGGGCGUAAAGGGUGCGUAGGUGGCUCUAUAAGUAUGGUGUGAAAUCUCCCGGCUUAACUGGGAGGUGCGCCGUAGACUGUGGGGCUAGAGUGUGGGAGAGGAAAGUGGAAUUCCUGGUGUAGCGGUGAAAUGCGUAGAUAUCAGGAGGAACACCGGUGGUGUAAACGGCUUUCUGGACCAUAAACUGACACUGGAGGCAACGAAAGCCGUGGGUAGCAAACAGG
rnacentral:rRNA from 1 species